UACGUAGGGGGCAAGCGUUAUCCGGAAUUACUGGGUGUAAAGGGCGCGUAGGCGGUUAUUUAAGUUAGAUGUGAAAUCCCAAGGCUCAACUUUGGAACUGCAUCUAAAACUGGGUAACUAGAGUGUGGGAGAGGAAAGCGGAAUUCUCAGUGUAGCGGUGAAAUGCGUAGAUAUUGAGAGGAACACCGGUGGCGAAGGCGGCUUUCGGGACCAUAAAUGACGCUGAGGCGCGAAAGCGUGGGGAGCAAACAGG
rnacentral:rRNA from 1 species